CGCAGGCAGCAGUAAGGAAUAUUGGACAAUGGGGGAAACCCUGAUCCAGCAAUGCCGCGUGAGUGAUGAAGGCCUUAGGGUCGUAAAGCUCUUUUACCAGGGAUGAUAAUGACAGUACCUGGAGAAUAAGCUCCGGCUAACUCCGUGCCAGCAGCCGCGGUAAUACGGAGGGAGCUAGCGUUGUUCGGAAUUACUGGGCGUAAAGCGCACGUAGGCGGUUAUUCAAGUCAGAGGUGAAAGCCCGGGGCUCAACCCCGGAACUGCCUUUGAAACUAGAUGACUGGAAUCUUGGAGAGGUCAGUGGAAUUCCGAGUGUAGAGGUGAAAUUCGUAGAUAUUCGGAAGAACACCAGUGGCGAAGGCGACUGACUGGACAAGUAUUGACGCUGAGGUGCGAAAGCGUGGGGAGCAAACAGGAUUAGAUACCCCGGU
rnacentral:rRNA from 1 species